rnacentral:lncRNA from 1 species
CCUCCCAUAACCCUCAAAUCAUGCAUUUAGCUAUUCUACAACAUGCAUAAACACAUUUUCCAGCAUAUAGGGGCUUACAACUAACCUAUACCCCAACAACACAUGAUAGCAACACAUUAUAACAUACAUUAUCCAUAAACUCAACAAUGACCCUAACAUUUGACAACUACCCUAAUCAGGCAUAAAACCCCUUCAAACUUCUCAAAACUUUUUCAAAACAUGAAAAGAGGUGAGGAUCUACUCUUACCUCUUGAAGAUCGAGAGGAAAGGCGAUCCAACUCGGAGAUGGGAGAGAUCGAGCUCCUGGAGUCUCCAAGUUUCCAACUUCACUCUUUUUGCUCAAAUAUCUUCAGACCAAGAUAAAACUUGUUAAAAAUCAUGAGAGACUUGAAGGAAGAAGACAAGAUCGACAAGGGAGGUCGGAGACUCACCUUGGCCGAAAAUGGGGAGAGAAAACUCACCCAUUUCGGACAGGAGACCCCUUUAUAGGUGGCUGGCUAGGCCACUUUCGGGGGCCUAACGUGCCUCCGCAUGCAUGCCAUGUUCAGCGGCCGAACAUGAGGUUCGGCAGCCGAACUUGGGCUCUUCCUUCAUUCUCUUUCUUUUCUUUUCUUUAAAACUUUCACUCAAAAUUAAUCAUUAAAAACAUGAAAAACAUUUGUAAAAACAUCUUUUUCCUACUAGAGAGUUCCGACAUCCGAGAUUUGACCGGACGGUAGGAGUUCCGAUACCGGAGUCUAGCCGGGUAUUACAUUCUCCCCCCCUUAAGAACAUUCGUCCCCGAAUGUUCACCAAACAAACACAUGCAUAGCAUAAAACAUCAAGAAACACAUAAACCUAUAACACAUACCUUAAAAGAGAUGGGGGUAUUGCUGGAGCAUGGACUCCUGUGUCUCCCAUGUACACUCCACGAUAUGGUGGUGAUUCCAAAGGACUUUCACCAUCGGAAUUUCCUUGUUCCUCAACUUUCUUAUAUGUGUGUCUAGGAUCCGCACUGGUUGCUCAACAUAGGUGAGAUCUUAUUGGAUCUCCACAUCAGGCUCGCUAAGAACCUUGCCCGGAUCUGACACGAACUUCCUUAACAUAGAAACAUGGAAAACCGGAUGGAUUAUCUCCAUAGAAGCAGGUAAAUCCAGCUUAUACGAUACAUUCCCGAUCUUUUGCAAGAUUUCAAAGGGUCUGAUGUACCGCGAAGCUAGCUUACUUUUCUUCUCAAACCGAAUCACCCCUUUCAUAGGAGAUACCUUGAGCAAUACCAAAUCCCCCUCCUGAAACUCCACCUGCCUCCUGCGGACAUCUGUAUAACUUUUCUGUCGACUGAUAGCAGUUCUGAUCCUCUCUCUGAUAAUGGGUACCACUCUGCUGGUGAUCUCUACUAACUUUGGGCCUGCCAAGGCCCUCUCUCCUACUUCUUCCCAGCAAACAGGUGACUUGCACUUCCUCCCAUAUAAAGCUUCAUAUGGAGCCAUCCCUAUGCUAGCAUGAUAGCUGUUAUUGUAGGCAAACUCCACCAAAGGUAGAUGCUGCCUCCAAGAACCGCCAAAAUCUAGCACACACAUUCUGAGCAUAUCUUCAAUUGUUUGGAUGGUCCUCUUCAUCUGUCCAUCAGUCUGAGGAUGGAAAGCAGUGCUAAAAUCCAACCUGGUACCCAUAGCGUUCUGCAGACUCCGCCAAAACCUGGAGGUGAACUGGGGGUCCUCUAUCAGACACUAUUGAAACAGGAGCCCCAUGCAACCUGACUACUUCAUCAACAAAUACCUGCGCCAAAUUUAUCCACAUAGUAGCCACUCCUAACAGGGAUGAAGUGAGCCGAUUUGGUCAGUCUGUCCACGAUCACCCAUAUGGAGUCUAAUCUGUUGGAUGUUGCCGGUAACCCCAUCACGAAAUCCAUAGCGAUAUUCUCCCAUUUCCACUCUGGAAUCGGCAGUGGGUUAAGCAUUUCAGCCGGCUUCUGAUGUUCCAGCUUCACCCUCUGACAAACCUCGCAGGCUUACACGAACUGUGCCACUUCUCUUUUCAUAGCUGGCCACCAAUAAACUCUUUUCAGAUCUUGGUACAUUUUGGUGGCCCCAGGGUGAACGUUGUAUCUAGCAUUAUGAGCUUCCCUCAUAAUGUCUCCCUUCAGACUUAUGUCAUCUAGUACACAUAACCUGUUCCCAUAGCGGAGGAUCCCUUUGUUGUCAAAUCUGAACUCUUCAUUCUUGCCUGCCUGCACUGCUCUUGCUAUCUUCACCAGCUCUGGGUCCUCAUGCUGUUUCUGAGCCACCUACUCUAGAAACACGGGUGUCACUCUCAUCUGAGCUAUUAAAGCCCCUGUACCAGACAACUCUAGCUGCAGUCCCUCAUUCAUAAGCUUGUAGAAUUCUUUCACCACCGGUCUUCUCUCUACUAAUAUAUGGGAUAAACUGCCAAGUGAUUUCCGGCUUAGGGCAUCUGCCACAACAUUUGCCUUACCCGGAUGGUACUGGAUUUUGCAAUCAUAGUCACUAAGCAGUUUUACCCAUCUUCUCUGUCUCAGGUUCAACUCUCUCUGACUCAGGAUGUACUGCAGGCUUUUAUGAUCUGUGAAGAUCUCACAUUUAACCCCAUAAAGGUAAUACCUCCACAUCUUGAGUGCAAAGAUUACAACUGCCAUCUCUAGGUCAUGUGUAGGGUAAUUCAACUCAUGCUUCUUCAGCUGCUUAGAAGCAUAAGCAAUCACCCUUUCAUUCUGCAUCAACACACAACCCAGUCCCACACGGGACGCAUCACAGAACAAUGUGAAGUCUUCAUUACUGGUAGGCAGAGCUAACACCAGUGCCGACGUCAACCUUUUCUUCAGCUCUUCGAAGCUCUCUUCGCACUGAUCAGACCACACAAACUUAUGAUUCUUUUUAGUUAAUCUGGUCAUAGGAGCAGCAAUUUUUGAGAAGUCCUGAACGAACCUCCUGUAGUAACCUGCCAAACCCAAAAAGCUCUUGAUCUCUAUCACUGUAGUGGGUCUAGGCCAGUUAGCUACAGCUUCUACCUUCUUGGGGUCCACUUUGAUUCCCUAUUCUGACACAACAUGCCCCAAGAAUGAGAUGCUCCUUAACCAGAAUUCACAUUUGGAGAACUUAGCAUACAAGCCAUGCUCCCUCAGGGUCUGCAAAACUGUCCUCAGAUGAUGGGCAUGCUCCUCUGCGUUUCUGGAAUACACUAAAAUAUCAUCGAUGAAGACAAUAACAAAGUGAUCCAGAUAUUGACUGAAAACUCUGUUCAUGAGAUUCAUGAAUGCUGCAGGGGCAUUAGUUAGCCCGAACGGCAUUACAAGGAACUCAUAAUGCCCAUAUCUGGUCCUGAAUGCCGUCUUUGGCACAGCUUCUUCUCUUAUUCUCAACUGAUGGUACCCAGAUCUCAGAUCUAUUUUGGAGAAACAACCUGCUCCUGCUAGCUGGUCAAAUAGAUCAUCAAUCCUAGGCAACGGAUACUUGUUCUUGGUAGUGACUUUGUUCAACUGCCUGUAGUCGAUACAAAGUCUGAGGGAUCCAUCCUUCUUUCUCACAAACAACACUGGAGCACCCGAAGGUGAGGUACUCGGUCGGAUGAAACCCUUGUCUACCCACUCUUGCAACUGCUCCUUUAGUUCCUUCAACUCUGUUGGUGCCAUCCUGUAGGGAGGGAUAGAGAUUGGUCUAGUUCCAGGCAUCAGUUCUAUUUCAAACUCUAUCUCCCUAGCAGAUGGUAGUCCUGAAAGCUCGUCUGGGAAGACAUAUGGAAAUUCUCUGACUACUGGCACUGAGGCUGGUUCCCUGACCUGACUAUCUAGCUCUCUCACAUGAGCCAAAUACCCCUGACAUCCGCUCCUAAGCAACCUACAAGCCUGUAGGGCUGAUAUCAGACCUCUACGUGUACCCCUCCUGUAUCCUCUAAAGACAACCUCUGACCCAUCCUGAUCUCUGAAUCUGACUACCUUGUCCCUGCAGUCCAAGGUAGCACCAUGGGUAGAUAGCCAAUCCAUCCCUAGAAUGACGUCAAAAUCUGUCAAAUCUAGAACCACUAGGUCGGCUGGAAGGCAUCUAUCCUCUACAAAUACAGGACUAAACCGGCAGACUGACUCUGCCACUGAUGGAUCACACUUGGGCCCGCUGACCCAGAAAGGACACUCUAACCCAGAGACCAUCAAACCCAACCUCUCAACUGCUCUCGGAGCAACAAAAGAAUGAGAUGCACCAGGGUCCAUUAAUGCAUACACAUCUGAACAACCAAUGAUGAGAUUACCUGACACCACGGUGUUGGAUGUGUUCGCCUCCUGUUGAGUCAUGGUGAAAAUCCGUGCUGGUGCUGAUGGACCUUCACCCCGGGAACCUGCUGAAGAAGAGGCUGCCCCUCUCCCUCUGCCUCUACCACUGCCCUGAGUCGUGGCUGGAGCUACUGGUUGAGCUACACUGCCAGAACCUGUCGCUGGGACUGUGCCAUAAAAGCUGCUCUAGGACACUCCUGAGCCAUGUGUCCUUCUUGCCCACAUCUGAAACAUGCAGUAGUCCCAAACCGGCAGACUCCUUUGUGUGGCUUACCACACUUCAUACAAGCAUGACCGCCCGAGCCAGAGCUUGAGCCACCUCCCAUUCCCAGAUCGGAUUUAAUCCUGUUCCAGAACUUGUUCUUCUUGGACUUGGAUCUUUCCAUCUUUACACUGCUCGGAGUCUUGGAACCUGAAGGCUGUGCCACUGACUGUUUAACUUUCCCUUCGAUGAUUGCACUAGCCUCCAUUUUCUGGGCCAUAUCCACAAUGGCAUGGAAACUCUCCCUUUCUGCUGACUGGAUCAAGGAGGAAUAUCUGGAAUGAAGCUUCAUGAUAUACCUCCUAGCCUUCUUUCGGUCUGUGUCAUAAGCUUGCCCUGCAAAUGGCAACAGCUCCAGAAAUCUAUCUGUGUAUUCAUCUACACUCAUCUCUUCCGUCUGCCUAAGCUGCUCGAACUCAAUCAUCUUCAGCUCCCUGGAGUUAUCAGGGAAAGCCCAUCCUGCAAAUUCAUUUGCAAAUUCCUCCAAGGAUAAGCUAUCCACCCUUGGGUCCACAUAGUUCUUGAACCAAUCCCUGGCUUUCUUACAUUUCAGUGUGAAACCCGCCAUCUGAAUGGCUCUACUCUUACUUGCUCCCAACUCAUCAGUUAUCAUUUUCACCGUCUUGAGGUACUCAAACGGAUCAUCACCAGUCUCAUACUUGGGAGCAUCCAGCUUAAGGUAAUCAGUCAUCUUCACCUUAUCCCCCCCAGAAGAGCUAGGUUUGGGAAAUUGGACAUUUGAGGUAGCUGGCUUUGCUGGUGGAGGAGGAGGUGCAACAUUUCCUGGGGUAGGGUUUGCUGGAUUUGGAUAGAAGGAUGGGGGUGGAUACAUGGGGUACUGAGAGUAUGGUGGGUAAAAGGGAGGGUAUGGCAUGUAGGAAGGGUAUGGGUUAAAGCUAGAGUAAUCCAAUGUACCUCCCAUCGGAUACCCUGAGCCCUGAGGAAAGGGCGGAUAUUGGGGUGGAUAACCAAACCCCGAGGCCUGAGCGCCUCCUUGUGACUCCCCUGUACCUUCCUCAGACAUGCUUACACCCAAGCUUCCAUCUCUUCUCUGAUCCACAUCCAUAUCUUCCCUCACAUCAACUGAACUUCCACCCUGAUCUGUACCCCUUCUACUAGCAUCAAAAGACCUUAUAGGGUCUCUUGACACUCUUUCUCUACCAGAUCUGCAUGACAUUGCCCUUGGCAAUGCAGGAGGAUGGGCAUCCAUGCCCUCGUUCUCCGGUGGUACUCCAGUCAAUCGUACAGAUCGACGAGUGCCUCUCAUUCUGAUUCUGAAAGCAACACAACAUACACAUAAACAUUAGCAUCAAAUGGUUCAUGUGGAAACACAUGAACCCACACAUAUAUAUCAUAUCAUUAAUGCACAUGUAUGAAAUCAUGGCAUUUCACAUCAUCAUCAAGACAGGACUCCACAUCCUAUCCUAGUGGACAUGAUUUUCUUUCCUAUUGUGCUUGCCAUUCUAUAACAUCUAUGAGCCCGACACACUAUCUAGGUCUGACCAUAUGAACCUAGGGCUCUGAUACCAAUAUGUAACGACCCGAAAAUCGGACCGCUACCGACGCUAGGAUCCAGAUCGACUUAAGGUCGCCGGGACCCGUAGCAAGCCUAACAUAUAUCCUAUAUACCUGUUAAAUCCCAUAUAUGAUCAUACAUAUACAUAAAACUGUAAACUUUUUUUUUCUUUCAUUUACCAAGCUUAACCUGUGCAUACACAUACUCAUAAACAUAAACCUCACACUGGAGCCCUCAUCAAAUGCUCCAAUGGGGUAACAUAUCAUACAUUAAGCUUGGUUCACAUAAUCAUCAUAAAAACAUUACCUAGAUCAUGUAUAAAGGGGAUUAACUAAAAACAUUAGGGCCAAGCACAACAUUAAACCUCAAUAUACAUCAUUUCAUAUCUUACAAUACCAUUCAUUACAUCACAUUCUUUCUCAUGUCCACUACUAACUAUUACAUACAUAAAACCUCUCUACUCUAGCUGACCUCCCAAACUGUCUCUGGCCUGCAAACCUGGGGGGUUAAGGGAAAGGGGGUGAGCUAAAAAGCCCAGUGAGCAGAACAAAUAAACAUAUAUAAAAAUCAUGCUUUCAUUGAAUGCAUUACAACACAUACAAUUCACAUCACGGAUAAACUUGUCACCAAUAACCCUCUACAUUUCCAAUGUGCCCGGCCCUCGACGGAGCUCCGCAAGACUUCCUCUUAAUCAUAACAUACAAUGCCAAGACGCGUGGACAUGGGCAGCCCUGGACUUUCAUUAAUCAUCAUACAUAUAAAAUGCCAGGAUGCGUGGACAUGGGCAGCCUUGGACUUUUAUAAAUUAUCAUACAUAUUGAGGGCUAAUGGAUCAUCCAACAUUCAUCCAUAUCAACCACAUAGAAUGCAAUGCAUCAUAUUUGUGAGAUUCUAAUGCAACAUCCUAAAAUACAUCAUGGUAUUCGUGAUGCAUGAACAUGCUCAAAACUUUGUCAUUUUAAUACAUAGUUCAGUUCUACUCACCUCUGGCUGACUCUGAACAGACUCUGAAGCAGCUAUCUCACUGCUGGGGUCCUCAGUUCCUCGGGUCUGAUCCUACACAGGUGGACUCAUAUGAGGUACCAAACAUAGACUAACAUGACUCUAAACAACUCCCCAAAAACCCCCUAAAACACCUCAAAACAUUCAUGCAAAAUAGGCAAAAGAAGGUUGGACAGGGCACCUUCGGCGGCCGAACCCUCCUCCAGAUCCGAAAGUCAUAGACCUUCUGCGGCACCUUCGGCGGCCGAAAGUUCUCUCCAGAUCCGAAACUCAUGCAUGUUCGGCGGCAGGUUCGAUGGCCGAAACUGCCCUCCAAAGCCGAAAGUCCAACUUUCGGGGGCAGGGUUCGGUAGCCAAAACAUGCCACCAUAGGCAGGUUCGGCGGCCGAAAGUGCCUUCGGCUGCCGAACCUGAGUUCUUCCAGAAUGGCAGAACUCGGGCCUCAUGCACAUUUUGGCCUCCCAUAACCCUCAAAUCAUGCAUUUAGCUAUUCUACAACAUGCAUAAACACAUUUUCCAGCAUAUAGGGGCUUACAACUAACCUAUACCCCAACAACACAUCAUAGCAACACAUUAUAACAUACAUUAUCCAUAAACUCAACAAUGACCCUAACCUUUGACAACUACCCUAAUCAUGCAUAAAACCCCUUCAAACUUCUCAAAACUUACUCAAAACAUGAAAAGAGGUGAGGAUCUACUCUUACCUCUUGAAGAUCGAGAGGAGAGGCAAUCCAACUCGGAGAUGGGAGAGAUCGAGCUCCUGGAGUCUCCAAGUUUCCAAC